rnacentral:lncRNA from 1 species
UAAUGGUAUGUAGGUCAAGGACUUGUCGUGGUUUAAAGACACUACUUUUGGAGCGUGUUGUCAUUGGAUGUCAAGGGGCUAUAGGGUGUGUUGUAGGUAUGGGCAGUGGAGAGGCACUAACAUGGAUUAGGGUAGGCUGAGGGACUUCAAUGUCAUUGGUCCCAAGAGAGGAUAAAGGUAGUGAUUGUGUUUCCGAGGAUACGCCUUCAAUCGUAGGGGAAUC